GAGCCUUCUGCUCUUCAUCCCACAGGCAGACUCUUGAAGAUGCACUUUUAUAGCAAAGAAUGUGGAUGGGUUUUUCUGAUUAGCGCAGAAGCUGAAGUUUUGCAUUUCGGGAGAUCCUUCCACACUUAUUAGAUCUCUGAUGUUGUGCCAUGAGCUGCUAGUUUCCCUGCACAUCUCAAAGAAUACUCUGCUUGUCCCUUCCACUCAAGAGGAUCACCCAUACUGUCACCAGUCUUGAUUCUGACUAAAGUUACCUUGGAGUUUCGAUCCCUGCCUCCACAAAACCAAAAGCUGCAAUAUUUUAUCGUUGGCAGUUCUUGUCUCCCCUGCUUCACCUUUCUCCUGCGAGGCAGAGAGAAGAUGGCUGGAAGGGAUCAGCUCCUGAAAUACGACUGAGACCACAGGUUUAAAGGACUUCCACUGUCUCCAGCCCUUAUCAGCUUAGUUAGGUAUUGAGCAACUGUGAACCUCAAAUCUACAAGCAAUGCCAAGCUGCGAGGAGUGCUUCAAAAGCCAGAUCAAGUUGUUUUGAUGAAUUUCUUUCUCUGCUAUGUUUGCCCCAGACAAGAGGUUUUGCCUCCUGUUUGGGAAGAAAAUUAAGUUGCUACGGGCUCCAGAGCUCACAUCUAUCUAAAUGACAUUAUCUAAAGAACGGUAGUAUCUAAAUAACAUUAGUAUUCCAAAACUGUCAAAUGCCUUUGAAAAACACUUUUCCUUGGGAUUUUAUUUCUGUUUUGGUAGUUUAUGUCUGUUUUCCCUAAUUUGAUGCCUGAUGAUCAAAGAGUUUUAAAGACCUAAGUGUAAGGGUUUUUGCGUGUGUGUGUGUGAAAUUUCUCCAGGAUCUCUCCUAAAUAAAAUGACCAUCAUCCCCA
rnacentral:lncRNA from 12 species